UACGUAGGGACCAAGCGUUGUUCGGAUUUACUGGGCGUAAAGGGCGCGUAGGCGGCGUGUCAAGUCAAUUGUGAAAUCUCCGGGCUUAACUCGGAACGGUCAAUUGAUACUGAUGUGCUAGAGUGCAGAAGGGGCAAUCGGAAUUCUUGGUGUAGCGGUGAAAUGCGUAGAUAUCAAGAGGAACACCUGCGGCGAAGGCGGGUUGCUGGGCUGAUACUGACGCUGAGGCGCGAAAGCCAGGGGAGCGAACGGG
rnacentral:rRNA from 1 species